rnacentral:rRNA from 1 species
AGCAGCCGCGGUAAUUCCAGCUCCAAUAGCGUAUAUUAAAGUUGUUGCAGUUAAAAGCUCGUAGUUGAACUUCGGGAUUUGUUCGUUGGUCAGGCUUCACUGUCUGUACUGGUGUUACGAAUUCCUACCUUCUGACGAAUCUUCAUGCCAUUCACUUGGUGCGGAGGGGAAUCAGGACUGUUACUUUGAAAAAUUGAGUGUUUAAAGCAAGCUAUUGCUCGAAUAUAUUAGCAUGGAAUAUAAAAUAGGACGUUGGUUCUAUUUUGUUGGUUUCUAGGAUCACCGUAAUGAUUAAUAGGGAUAGUUGGGGGCAUUAGUAUUCAAUUGUCAGAGGUGAAAUUCUUGGAUUUAUUGAAGACUAACUACUGCGAAAGCAUUUGCCAAGGAUGUUUUCAUUAAU